CUUUCCCGUCGCCCCGGCGGAGGCCGGGGCCGCCAACGUCUUGAGCGCACGUCGCCCCCGGCCUGUGGCGGCCCCGACCUCCGCCGGGACGACGUAAAUG
rnacentral:pre_miRNA from 1 species